rnacentral:rRNA from 1 species
GUCUUUUUGAUUUUAAUUUAAGGUCAAAUCUGCCCACUGAUUUAUAUUAAAGGGCUGCAGUAUAUUGACUGUACAAAGGUAGCAUAAUAAAUAGUCUUUUAAUUGAAGACUUGUAUGAAAGAUUUGAUGAGAUAUAAACUGUCUCUUUUUUAUAUUUAGAAUUUAAUUUUUUAGUAAAAAAGCUAAAAUUAAUUUAAAAGACGAGAAGACCCUAUAGAGUUUUAUAAUUAAUUUAUUUACAUAUUUAUAUUUAUAAUUUAAAAUUUAAUUAAUUUAAUUAUUUUGUUGGGGUGAUAGAAAAAUAUAUUAAACUUUUUUUAAAAAAUUACAUUAAUUAAUGAAUAAAUGAUCCAUAAAUUAUGAUUAAAAGAAAAAAUUACCUUAGGGAUAACAGCGUAAUUUUUUUUUUUAGUUCUUAUAGGAAAAAGAGUUUGCGACCUCGAUGUUGGAUUAAGAUAAAAUUUAAAUGUAGAAGUUUAAAAUUUUGAUCUGUUCGAUCAUUAAAAUCUUACA